UAUUAGAUAAAGAACCAAUAUUUUUGGUGACUCAUAAUAACUUUACGGAUCACAUUAUGUGACAUAUCAUUCAAGUUUCUGACCUAUCAGCUUUAGACGGUAGGGUAUUGGCCUACCGUGGCUAUGACGGGUAACGGGGAAUUAGGGUUCGAUUCCGGAGAGGGAGCCUGAGAAACGGCUACCACAUCUAAGGAAGGCAGCAGGCGCGCAAAUUACCCAAUCCUAAUACAGGGAGGUAGUGACAAGAAAUAACAAUACAGGACCUUACGGUUUUGUAAUUGGAAUGAGUUAAGUAUAAACCCCUUAACAAGUAUCAAUUGGAGGGCAAGUCUGGUGCCAGCAGCCGCGGUAAUUCCAGCUCCAAUAGCGUAUAUUAAAGUUGUUGCAGUUAAAAAGCUCGUAGUUAAUUUUCUGUUAAUUUUUAUAUACAAUACUACGGUAUUUAUAUAAUAUUAACAUAAUUCAUAUUACUUUUUAGUAUAUGAAACUUUACUUUGAGAAAAUUAGAGUGCUUAAAGCAGGCUAUUGCCUUGAAUACUCCAGCAUGGAAUAAUAUUAAGGAUUUUUAUUCUUCUUAUUGGUUCUAGAAUAAAAAUAAUGAUUAAUAGGGACAGUUGGGGGCAUUUGUAUUUAACAGUCAGAGGUGAAAUUCUUAGAUUUGUUAAAGACAAACUACUGCGAAAGCAUUUGCCAAGGAUGUUUUCAUUAAUCAAGAACGAAAGUUAGGGGAUCGAAGACGAUCAGAUACCGUCGUAGUCUUAACCAUAAACUAUGCCAACUAGAGAUUGGAGGUUGUUCCUUACUC
rnacentral:rRNA from 1 species